rnacentral:rRNA from 1 species
CCGCGGUAAUACGUAGGGUGCGAGCGUUGUCCGGAAUUAUUGGGCGUAAAGGGCUCGUAGGCGGUUUGUCGCGUCGGGAGUGAAAACGCCGUGCUUAACACGGCGCUUGCUUUCGAUACGGGCAGACUAGAGGUAUGCAGGGGAGAACGGAAUUCCUGGUGUAGCGGUGAAAUGCGCAGAUAUCAGGAGGAACACCGGUGGCGAAGGCGGUUCUCUGGGCAUUACCUGACGCUGAGGAGCGAAAGUGUGG